CCGCCGGCGACCUCUCCUUGACCAUUACCGUCUCCCCACCCGGGCUCCGACCUACCCACCAUCUCAAGCAGGUCCAGAUCCGCCACGGCUCCCGCAGCCACGCGCCGGCAGACCAAGCAGGCGCACGACGUGGCGCGCUGGUGCACGACGUGUGGUUACUCUUCCACUCUCGUGGUCACCAUUCUGCUUCCUCUCCUCCACUGGUUCAGCAGCAGCAACAGCAGUGACAAGCGAUUUGGAGGGAACAAGCUGAGCAAUUGCAGCCGUCGUCCUCGCCUAGGAGGAGGAGGAGGAGGAAGAGGAGGAGCUCCAUCACAUCAGCAGCAGUUCAGGCAGGACAUGAAGUUGUGGCCCUUCAAGGUCAUCCCUGGCCCUGCUAACAAGCCCAUGAUCGCCGUCGACUACAAGGUCAUGUACCCGUGCAAUGCUUGUUUCCUUGAACCAGAAGCGGCAGGGGCCCUAUUCGGUGUCAACUUGGUAUGAGCGGCGGAAUGAGACUCUCGAUUUCCCUUGGUGGCAAGUCUACCCCCUUGUUAGUAGUCUAGGGUGCUUUGUGGUAGGGUGUGAAUUCUGUUAGACAUAAUCUUGACAUGCAUAAGUUUGUUAGCCGGGCCAUGCAUGAUUGUUGGUUAGUAGCUUGGUCAAGUUGUGUGUGGCUGUUAGAGAGUUUCCAGUAGAAGAUAAGGUCAGUGAUUAGUGCGUCCAGGUUGUUACGUGAGGUGAGUGCAUGGUGGUUGUUGCUCGUGCAUGUAGCUAGCUCAGUGCGUGUGUGUGUGUGCGUGGAGUUAGUGGCCGGUGGGGCGGGAGGGUCGUGUGUGUGCGCCCUGUGUAUAAAUACCCCAUGUACUGAUCAACCGGAGGUCCCGGUGUGAGCCGUGUGUAGCCAUGUAGCCACUGUAAGGAAGAAAAGGAUUGGGACGUUCGUACGCCCGUGGCGGCGUUCGUGCGCCGGCCGGAAAAUCUUGUGUCCACUGUUCUUCUUCUUCCACCUCCGUUCGAGUGAGAGAAGAGGUAGCUAGAGGGCUGCGGUUCCAACAAAUUCUUCUGUUUCUCUUGCUUUCUUUUGAGCUGCUUUGUAAGAGAAUUCACCAUGUAUUGCUUUAUAUAUAAAGCGGGGUGAAAGUCUUUUAGGUAUCUCUCUGUGUGUGUCUAGAGAUAGACGGAUUAGGAUUUAAUCGCCAACACUUACGUGGUUAAUCUCGCACAAAAUAUAUGCUCAUGUAGUUGGCAUGAGAGAAACAACAAUUAUGAAUGGACGAUUGUAAGUGAAAUGUGCAACUUAUACCCCUCAUGGUGGUC